rnacentral:rRNA from 1 species
UACGGGGGGGGCAAACGUUGUUCGGAAUUACUGGGCGUAAAGCGCGUGUAGGCGGCAGGGCGUGUCGGAUGUGAAAUCCCGUGGCUCAACCACGGAAGUGCACCCGAAACUGCCCAGCUUGAGUCUCGGAGAGGAAGGCUGAAUGCUUGGUGUAGAGGUGAAAUUCGUAGAUAUCAAGCGGAACACCGGUGGCGAAGGCGGCCUUCUGGACUAUGACUGACGCUGAGACGCGAAAGCGUGGGGAGCAAACAGG